AUUCUCCCACCUCAGCCUCCCAAGCAACUGGGACCACAAGUUUCUGUGGGUCAGGAGAUCAGAAAUGGUUCUAUUUCAAGGUCUCUCACAGGGCUGCAAUCAAGAUGUUGGCAUGGCUGGGGUCUCAUCUGAAGGCUGGACUGGAGAAUCUACUUCCAAACUUAUGUGGUAGUUGGAAGAGUUUAGUUCCUCAAGGCUGCUAAACUGAUGGCCUGUGUUCCUUGCCUCUGGGAUGGUAGCUUGCUUCAACAAAGUGUGCAAGCAGAGAAGACAGAGAGAGUCCACUAGCAAGAUAGAAGCCACAAUCUCUUGUAAUCUAUCAUUUUUGCUGUAUUCUACUGGUUAAAAAUAACUCAUUAGGUUAGCCUACUGGCUCUGAAGGGGAAGAGAUUAUACAAAGGCAUGAAUUUCUGGAGGAGGGAAUGAGGGCAAAGAACUCUGAAAAGUCUCUCUUCCACAAUCUGAAGAACUUCUAGAAAGUAGAAGGAAGCGAUAUUGCUUAGGGAUGGACAACUUGGCACUGGUUAUGUGUUCCAAGUGAGGUAACCUUGUUCCCAGGAAUAAAGAGAACCAGAUGACUGUAAACAUUUCCCUAAACUGAAAUGCACUGUUGUAUGUUCA
rnacentral:lncRNA from 1 species